rnacentral:rRNA from 1 species
GACGAACGCUGGCGGCGUGCCUAAUACAUGCAAGUCGAACGCUUCUUUCCUCCCGAGUGCUUGCACUCAAUUGGAAAGAGGAGUGGCGGACGGGUGAGUAACACGUGGGUAACCUACCCAUCAGAGGGGGAUAACACUUGGAAACAGGUGCUAAUACCGCAUAACAGUUUAUGCCGCAUGGCAUAAGAGUGAAAGGCGCUUUCGGGUGUCGCUGAUGGAUGGACCCGCGGUGCAUUAGCUAGUUGGUGAGGUAACGGCUCACCAAGGCCACGAUGCAUAGCCGACCUGAGAGGGUGAUCGGCCACACUGGGACUGAGACACGGCCCAGACUCCUACGGGAGGCAGCAGUAGGGAAUCUUCGGCAAUGGACGAAAGUCUGACCGAGCAACGCCGCGUGAGUGAAGAAGGUUUUCGGAUCGUAAAACUCUGUUGUUAGAGAAGAACAAGGACGUUAGUAACUGAACGUCCCCUGACGGGAUCUAACCAGAAAGCCACGGCUAACUACGU